rnacentral:rRNA from 1 species
AGUGAACGCUGGCGGUAGGCCUAACACAUGCAAGUCGAACGGCAGCACAGUAAGAGCUUGCUCUUACGGGUGGCGAGUGGCGGACGGGUGAGGAAUACAUCGGAAUCUACUUUUUCGUGGGGGAUAACGUAGGGAAACUUACGCUAAUACCGCAUACGACCUACGGGUGAAAGUAGGGGAUCCUCGGACCUUGCGCGAUUGAAUGAGCCGAUGUCGGAUUAGCUAGUUGGCGGGGUAAAGGCCCACCAAGGCGACGAUCCGUAGCUGGUCUGAGAGGAUGAUCAGCCACACUGGAACUGAGACACGGUCCAGACUCCUACGGGAGGCAGCAGUGGGGAAUAUUGGACAAUGGGCGCAAGCCUGAUCCAGCCAUACCGCGUGGGUGAAGAAGGCCUUCGGGUUGUAAAGCCCUUUUGUUGGGAAAGAAAAGCAGCAGGUUAAUACCCCGCUGUUCUGACGGUACCCAAAGAAUAAGCACCGGCUAACUUCGUG